CCACCUCCUAGCAUACGGGUCUUAUGAAACUGUCGGCACUCAGCAGGAAUUUACCAUGACAUCAGAGCCGAGACUCCUCGGGUGGACUGGACUCGUUAAAAGGGGACCCUUAUGCGCUACCGGCCAGGAAACGUCCGUCUGAGCGCGGCGGCGGACUGGUGGUGCUUCUCUUCAUUCCCCCCUCCUGUGUCCUCUCGGUAACCCUGGGAAUGGUUCUCAGAAAAUGCACUGCCUGGAGCUCGCGCGCCCCUGUUUGGUGCCCUUUGAUCUUCCAAAUAUUCCAGAAAUGCAUUUGCGGAGCCCUUCCUUUGCCGGAGCAUAUCAGGUUUUUGUUUUUAUUUAGUUUUAAAAAAAAAAAACGUUUUCCUUUUCAUUAAAGUUGAGGAGAUUGCAUAUCCUGCAUGUCCUUAAGCAUGUAUAUAAAUGACACAUUUAUCAAUGCGAGGCUUGCUGCAGUGCGUGUCCAGGCACAGCUAACGUUCCGUAGGUUGAAUGCAGCGUCAUUAAUGGAGCCGAUCUAAGUUUGCAUUUGGAUUCGCACCAGGUGUGUGUGUCCGCCAAGACCUUCGACAAGAUCAAAAGCAGUCACUCUCCACGCGUCGGGCCCCACCUCUUGCGUUUGUCCACGGAGUUGCCUCGGCUAAGCCACGGAUUUAUAAAAUGUCCAAUUAAUUGCGCUGAACAAACGGCGGCAAGAGUAAUGUGCGCGAGAUCUGGACUUCAUUAACGCCGAGGAAAAACAAAAAAGCGCGGACCGGGACGUAUGGUGAACUUCCGUGACCUUCAAGAGGGGCGGAGGGGCGGUGAAAAGAAAAAC